rnacentral:rRNA from 1 species
GAAUAUUGGACAAGGGGGGGAACCCUGACCCAGCCAUGCCCGGGGUUGGAAAAAGGCCUUUUGGUGGAGAAGACCUUUAAGCGAGGAGGAGGUACCGCGAGUAAAAACCUUGAGAUAGUGGAGGUUACCCGAGGAAAAAGACCCGCCUAACGCGUGGCCAGCGCCCGCGGUAAUACAGAGGGUGCAAGCGUUAAUCGGAUUUACUGGGCGUAAAGCGCGCGUAGGUGGCCAAUUAAGUCAAAUGUGAAAUCCCCGAGCUUAACUUGGGAAUUGCAUUCGAUACUGGUUGGCUAGAGUAUGGGAGAGGAUGGUAGAAUUCCAGGUGUAGCGGUGAAAUGCGUAGAGAUCUGGAGGAAUACCGAUGGCGAAGGCAGCCAUCUGGCCUAAUACUGACACUGAGGUGCGAAAGCAUGGGGAGCAAAC